GCCCUUAGAGUUUGAUCCUGGCUCAGGAUGAACGCUAGCGGCAGGCUUAACACAUGCAAGUCGAGGGGUAACAGGGUUUAGUUUACUAGAUUGCUGACGACCGGCGCACGGGUGAGUAACGCGUAUACAAUUUACCUUUUACAGGAGAAUAGCCCAGAGAAAUUUGGAUUAAUGCUCCAUGGUAUUAUGAAGUGGCAUCACUUUAUGAUUAAAGAUUUAUCGGUAAAAGAUGAGUAUGCGUCCUAUUAGUUAGUUGGUGAGGUAACGGCUCACCAAGACAGCGAUAGGUAGGGGUCCUGAGAGGGAGAUCCCCCACACUGGUACUGAGACACGGACCAGACUCCUACGGGAGGCAGCAGUGAGGAAUAUUGGGCAAUGGAGGCAACUCUGACCCAGCCAUGCCGCGUGCAGGAAGACGGCCCUAUGGGUUGUAAACUGCUUUUAUAUAGGAAGAAACUUUUCCACGUGUGGAGAGCUGACGGUACUAUAUGAAUAAGCACCGGCUAACUCCGUGCCAGCAGCCGCGGUAAUACGGAGGGUGCAAGCGUUAUCCGGAAUCAUUGGGUUUAAAGGGUCCGUAGGCGGGCAAUUAAGUCAGGGGUGAAAUCCCACAGCUCAACUGUGGAACUGCCUUUGAUACUGGUUGUCUUGAGUUAUAGUGAAGUAGAUAGAAUGUGUAGUGUAGCGGUGAAAUGCAUAGAUAUUACACAGAAUACCGAUUGCGAAGGCAGUCUACUAACUGUACACUGACGCUAAUGGACGAAAGCGUGGGGAGCGAACAGGAUUAGAUACCCUGGUAGUCCACGCCGUAAACGAUGGUCACUAGUUGUUGGGGUCUUGUACCUCAGUGAUUAAGAGAAAUUGAUAAGUGACCCACCUGGGGAGUACGAUCGCAAGAUUGAAACUCAAAGGAAUUGACGGGGGCCCGCACAAGUGGUGGAGCAUGUGGUUUAAUUCGAAGAUACGCGAAGAACCUUACCUAGCCUUGACAUAUUUGAAAAUCCACCAGAGAUGGAGGAGUGCCUUCGGGAGUUCAUUUACAGGUGCUGCACGGCUGUCGUCAGCUCGUGUCGUGAGAUGUUGGGUUAAGUCCCGCAACGAGCGCAACCCUCGUCACUAGUUACUAACGGUUCGGCCGAGGACUCUAGUGAGACUGCCUUCGUAAGGAGGAGGAAGGUGAGGACGACGUCAAGUCAUCAUGGCCCUUACGGCUAGGGCAACACACGUGCUACAAUGGGCAGGACAAUGAGACGCGAUACCGCGAGGUGGAGCAAAUCUAUAAACCUGUUCUCAGUUCGGAUUGUAGUCUGCAACUCGACUACAUGAAGCUGGAAUC
rnacentral:rRNA from 1 species